UACGGGGGGAGCAAGCGUUGUUCGGAUUUACUGGGCGUAAAGGGCGCGUAGGCGGCGCAACAAGUCACUUGUGAAAUCUCCGGGCUUAACCCGGAGCGGUCGAAGUGAUACUGUCGUGCUAGAGUGCAGAAGGGGCAACUGGAAUUCUCGGUGUAGCGGUGAAAUGCGUAGAUAUCGAGAGGAACACCUGCGGCGAAGGCGGGUUGCUGGGCUGAUACUGACGCUGAGGCGCGAAAGCCAGGGGAGCGAACGGG
rnacentral:rRNA from 1 species